GCAUUCAAUCAGAUGGGGAAAAAAACCAAAACACUCAAAAAACAAUGCCUUGAACUGUAACUUGUUUGUUUGACUUUCACUGCACUGGAGCAUGGAAUUAAUUCAAAGUGGAAAGAACCUGGGAAGGCCCCAAAUAUUGGCUAACCGCUCAGGCCAAAGAAGCAAGGGGAGGAUACGGUAAUAAUUAAUGCAUAUUAACAAAGUAAGCACGUGAGCCAGGAACUCUUUAUCCUUAGGCAGCAACUCUACCAGCUUUUAUGCAUUUUGACGGCAGGGAGGGCCAUAUCCUCAUGCCUCUCAAUCUCAACCUCUUCAUGUGUCAAUGUCAAAAAUUAAAAUGCACGAAACUUGAAUCAAAACCUCCUGCAGAAUCUUCAGACCUGUAAUGGACUCAUAAACAAAACCAUCCCUGACAUCAGGAUGCAUAACAGCUGUGAAGUCCAAAGGAUGAAAACUUUGAUUUUGAAGCAUGCACAACUUCGCCUAAUUGCCUCUAAUCCUCAUCAGGAAUAGUUAGCAUUUAGAAAGAAGGAGAUCUUUCCAUCUCUUUGAGCUUCCAUCUGAGAUCUCCCCAGUCAUUUGAGCAGCCUGGCAGAGUCUUCUGCUAUUCACUGGUAACCCAAAUUCCUUCCCUUCACAAUUCAUAAACUAUAAUCUAAGGAACAUUUUGUAAUCUAGUGAUGUCACAUGAUCUCUAUUGCCACACUCCCUGCUAAAUACAUGCUCUAUGCUGGAUCCAUGCAGGAGCACUUUAUUUUAAAAGACAAUCCUUAGUUUCAGUUUCUCCAUUUUGGUUGCACUCACCAGCACAAACCAAUGCUAUGUGUUGUGGCAUGACACUGAUAUUCUUCACAGCGAUUCUUUUAUGCUUUUAUAGCAUGAUGAUAUCACAGUUCCUUCAUAUAUUUUGUUACUGUGGUAUAAUAUUAAAGCAGUCAUAUGGCCUUUCAUAUGCAACUUGCUUUUUUAACCUCCUGAGGAUUAAGCUGGCUGCGUUGUCUGUAGUGAGGUCUAGUGUUUAGAACAGGUGAUUCAGAGUUUGGAUACCUGGAUUCUGUUUUUUGCUCUUCCACAGACUUUCUAUGUGAACUUGAGCAAAACACUUAUCUUCUACAUCCCUCAGUUUAUCAAAAGGGUGAAGGGGAUUCAGCUGCACUUGCUUACCUCAUAGGGAUGUUAAGAGGCUUAAUUAAUUGUUUACAAAGCACAUUACACAGUGCUUCUAAACCAAAAAUCUCACAGCAAAGCAUCAGUCCUCCCGUGACACAAAUUACAGAGCAGCAGGGAGAUCUCCAAACUCCCUGCUAUAUACUAGAAAAAUAAAAUGCUGACCUGAAGGCACUUUUGAGGAAACAGGGAAAGUGAUUCAACUGUGGACAUUUAUGGUCUGAGCACCUGCAGCCCUUACUAAUUUCAGUGGGAGCAGUGAGGGGUAAGUGUCUCUGAAAGCCAAGCCAAUAAAGA